rnacentral:rRNA from 1 species
AUUGAACGCUGGCGGCAGGCCUAACACAUGCAAGUCGAACGAGUGGCGGACGGGUGAGUAAUGUCUGGGAAACUGCCCGAUGGAGGGGGAUAACUACUGGAAACGGUAGCUAAUACCGCAUACCAUCGGAUGUGCCCAGAUGGGAUUAGCUAGUAGGUGGGGUAACGGCUCACCUAGGCGACGAUCCCUAGCUGGUCUGAGAGGAUGACCAGCCACACUGGAACUGAGACACGGUCCAGACUCCUACGGGAGGCAGCAGUGGGGAAUCUUGUACAAUGGGCGAAAGUCUGACGCAGCAACGCCGCGUGUGUGAAGAAGGCUUUCGGGUCGUAAAGUACUGUUAGGGGGGAGGCGGUACCUGAAGAGAAAGCAACGGCUAACUACGUGCCAGCAGCCGCGGUAAUAC